rnacentral:rRNA from 1 species
UACGUAGGGCGCAAGCGUUGUCCGGAAUUAUUGGGCGUAAAGAGCUCGUAGGCGGCUUGUCACGUCGGGUGUGAAAGCCCGGGGCUUAACCCCGGGUCUGCAGUCGAUACGGCAGGCGUAGAGUUCGGUAGGGGAGACUGGAAUUCCUGGUGUAGCGGUGAAAUGCGCAGAUAUCAGGAGGAACACCGAUGGCGAAGGCAGGUCUCUGGGCCGAUACUGACGCUGAGGAGCGAAAGCGUGGGGAGCGAACAGG